rnacentral:rRNA from 1 species
AACCAGACUCCUACGGGAGGCAGCAGUGGGGAAUAUUGCACAAUGGGGGAAACCCUGAUGCAGCGACGCCGCGUGAGCGAUGAAGUAUUUCGGUAUGUAAAGCUCUAUCAGCAGGGAAGAAAAUGACGGUACCUGGCUAAGAAGCCCCGGCUAACUACGUGCCAGCAGCCGCGGUAAUACGUAGGGGGCAAGCGUUAUCCGGAUUUACUGGGUGUAAAGGGAGCGUAGACGGCAUGGCAAGCCAGAUGUGAAAUACCGGGGCUCAACCCCGGGACUGCAUUUGGAACUGUUAAGCUGGAGUGUCGGAGAGGCAGGCGGAAUUCCUAGUGUAGCGGUGAAAUGCGUAGAUAUCAGGAGGAACACCGGUGGCGAAGGCGGCCUGCUGGACUGCGACUGACGUUGAGGCCCGAAAGCGUGGGGAGCAAACAGGAUUAGAUACCCGUGUAAUC